AUUGAACGCUGGCGGCAGGCCUAACACAUGCAAGUCGAGCGAGCGGCGGACGGGUGAGUAAUGUAUGGGGAUCUGCCCGAUAGAGGGGGAUAACUACUGGAAACGGUGGCUAAUACCGCAUACUAUCGGAUGAACCCAUAUGGGAUUAGCUAGUAGGUGGGGUAAAGGCUCACCUAGGCGACGAUCUCUAGCUGGUCUGAGAGGAUGAUCAGCCACACUGGGACGGAGACACGGCCCAGACUCCUACGGGAGGCAGCAGUGGGGAAUAUUGCACAAUGGGCGAAAGCCUGAUGCAGCCAGCCCGCGUGUAUUAGGAAGGCCUUCGGGUUGUAAAGUACUUUCAGCGGGGAGGCGUUACCCGCAGAAUAAGCACCGGCUAACUCCGUGCCAGCAGCCGCGGUAAUAC
rnacentral:rRNA from 1 species